GAUGAACGCUAGCGGCAGGCUUAAUACAUGCAAGUCGAACGGUAAGUUUGGUAGCAAUAUCAAACCAAGAGUGACGUACGGGUGCGUAACACGUAUGCAACCUACCUUGUACAGGAGUAUAGCUCGGGGAAACUCGAAUUAACCCUCCAUGAGAUCAUAGAAUGGCAUCAUUUAGUGAUUAAAACUCAGGUGGUACAAGAUGGGCAUGCGUCUGAUUAGAGUUGGCGGGGUAAUGGCCCACCAAGACGAUGAUCAGUAGGGGACCUGAGAGGGUGAUCCCC
rnacentral:rRNA from 1 species